rnacentral:rRNA from 1 species
UACGGGGGGGGCAAGCGUUGUUCGGAAUUACUGGGCGUAAAGGGCUCGUAGGCGGUCAACUAAGUCAGACGUGAAAUCCCUCGGCUUAACCGGGGAACUGCAUCUGAUACUGGAUGGCUUGAGAUUGGGAGAGGGAUGCGGAAUUCCAGGUGUAGCGGUGAAAUGCGUAGAUAUCUGGAGGAACACCGGUGGCGAAGGCGGCAUCCUGGCUUGGUAUUGACGCUGAGGCGCGAAAGCGUGGGGAGCAAACAGG